rnacentral:rRNA from 1 species
AUGAGGGACUUCUACCUGUGUUAUCUUGCAAUUCUCACAAACACAUUAGUCCCUCAGCCAUGUUUGUUGUCAAUACUCCAAAACCAACUAGGGGUGGCACUAGAUGCACUUAUAGAGCCGCAUAUCUUCAAAUUUUUGGCUAACUAUCUUCGAAGGGAGAAGUUGGUGUCUGAUACCAGAAUUAAAGUCGAAGAGAAACUAGCAUCAUUUUUGUGGAUGUUAUCCUAUAAUUCUUCAUUUGAAGACCUUCAAGUUCGGUUCGGUCACAGCGGGGAUACUUUCCAUUGGCAAAUGAAGAAUUUCUUUGACAUCAUACCUACUCUCUCCAAGCAGUUUUUGAAGCCUCCAAAUCCGAAUCAAGUACAUCCGAAGAUCCAGUCGGACACGAGAUUCUUUUCGUAUUUUUAG